rnacentral:rRNA from 1 species
GCUUAACCGUAAACUUUAACUUACUCUUUAAUCGCCAGGGAACUACGAGCAAAGCUUAAAACCCAAAGGACUUGACGGUACCCCACAUCCACCUAGAGGAGCCUGUCCUAUAAUCGAUAAUCCCCGCUUAACCUCACCACCUUUAGCUAUUCAGCCUGUAUACCUCCGUCGUCAGCUUACCACGUGAGCGAACAUUAGUGAGCUUAAUGUCUUUACAUCAAUACGUCAGGUCAAGGUGCAGCAUAUAAGGUGAGAAGAGAUGGGCUACACUUUCUAAAUUAGAAUACACGGAAAACUAUUCAUGAAACUUAGUUUGAAGGCGGAUUUAGAAGUAAAGAGAAAUAAGAGUGUUCUCUUUAACUUGGCACUGGGGUGUGUACACACCGCCCGUCACCCUCUUCAAAGCUAAUUUUAAGUUUUUAACUAUACAUGCAAUAAUAGAAGAGGCAAGUCGUAACAUGGUAAGUAUACCGGAAGGUGUGCUUGGAAA